UAUUGCAUAUGCAUUCAUUGCAGACAUUUUAGUUUUUGAGUUUUCCUAAAAGUGCACUAAGAGUUCCAAAUUAAAUUUCAUAUUCAAAAUUCCCGUUCUUUCACUUUUUUGAUAAGUGUAAAUAGAAUAUAUGGAACGAGAUCAAUGCUUAUUUUGGAAGAUCACAAGUUCUUUUGUGAAAUUUCACAGCAACUUCAACAAUGGAAUUUUAUCCUGAGGUAACUGGCUUCUCAAAUUUGAAGAUAGAGCUGUGUACUGCUUACAUUCUGAUAGGGAUGAAUGGAUUGAUUCAUAGCGUAGUUAGUUGUAAUUGGAGAGCUGUCCAUUAAUUAGCCCAUCAAUGGAAUCGUUGCAUAUUCUUCAAUUACAGAAGAAUUUCUGCACAAGAAAUGAUGAGAUUGUGGGCCUAUAAUACAGAAUGAAUCAUCAACAUGUAGAUACACAUCUGGAUGAUGUAGGCGGUGGUAUAACAAGAAUGCAGAUUAAUUUGAAAUGUAAUUUCUAUUUUCAUUGAUGUAAAUAUUUUGUAUCGAUCUUAGUGUGACAUAUUUUCUCAUGUAAAUGAUUGAUUGAAUUAAAAGUACAUGCAUUUGUUUGGAA